rnacentral:lncRNA from 1 species
GUCAGAGCCAGCAUCAGAGAGCCGGAGUGCUGGGAUCACGCAUGCCAGCUACUACGUCUGGCUAAGACUUCCCAUUCUUAAAAGUCCUUCCCCUUCUCCCUACCUCCUACAACCUCUGCCCCUCCUGUUUCUGCAGCAGUUCACAGGAGUAGCCACCAAGGCUGCUUUGCCAGGCUCGGCUGGCUGCUCCUGGAGACUCACAGUCUGACUCCUCCCUGUUCUGAAACUGUUGCUUCUGCUUUGACUCCGUGGUCCUCUUGGGGCUUCUGGCCCUCCACAGACAAGAAGUGUGAUCCCUAUCUCCUCCCACCCUAUGAGGAUGCUAGGCUGCUGUGUAUACCCCGCCCCCUCAUUGUUAUUCAAGAAUCCAUGUGUUCCCCACAGUCUGUGAGGCUGUGUUUGAGAAGACCACAUUCUAGCUUGGGCUUCUGUCUUCUGUCUGUGCUGCCCAUCAACCGGGGAAAUUUGAGCUGGGCUGGAUCACGGGGCAAGACAGGAGCAGGAAGAGCCCCCAGCACAAGUGACUGGGCUGGUAGGCCACAGUGGUACAACUUAGUUCCCACAUACUCACCCUUCACAAGCCAGUGCACCCUCUGUGUGUGUCCAUAUCAGCGCCUCCGGCAGCCCACAGGCUUUGGAGUGGGAUGGGGCAGGGCCCUAGAGUCUUCUCCCUGAUGGUCCUGCUCAGAUACCUGAUGUGCCUUGAGUGAAAAUGGCCAGUUUGAACUGGAGAGAGAGAGAGAGAGAGAGAGCCCAGCUGCUUCCUGAUCUUGCUGCCGUCCCUUCCCCUCUGUGGUGACUGGGGUCUCCUGGAGCCAUGAGCUAAAGUAAAUCUGUUCUUUCGAAAGCUGCUUUUGUCUGUGUUUUGUCCCAACAAUGAUAAAAGUAAUUGAUACAAGUCCAUUAGGCAGGCAUGGGGUACACGCCUUUAAUCCUAGCACUUAGAAAGCAAAGAGGCAGGUGGAUCUCUCUGAGUUCCAGGUCAGCCUGGUCUACAUAGGAAGUUAUAGGUCAACCAGGGAUAUAAAGAGAGAUCCUGUCUCAACAAAACAUACAUGCCUG